rnacentral:rRNA from 1 species
UACGGGGGGGGGCAAGCGUUGUUCGGAAUUACUGGGCGUAAAGCGCACGUAGGCGGAUUGUUAAGUCGGGGGUGAAAUCCUGGAGCUCAACUCCAGAACUGCCUUCGAUACUGGCGAUCUCGAGUUCGGGAGAGGUGGAGUGGAACUGCGAGUGUAGAGGUGAAAUUCGUAGAUAUUCGCAAGAACACCAGUGGCGAAGGGCGGACUCGCUGGCCCGAGUACCUG